CAGUUGUUCAGAGCUACUUACAACCUGGCAAACCCUAUCUGCUUAAACAAUGAGAUCUACAUUUCACUAAGGAGUACACUAGAAACCUUGUGACUUCAACGGAACGCCUAAAACAUUGCUGGAAGCAACACUGCCACAUUGUACCAAGUACACCA